AAUGAACGUUGGCGGCGUGGAUUAGGCAUGCAAGUCGUGCGGAAAGGCUCCUUCGGGAGUACUCGAGCGGCGAAAGGGAGAGUAACGCGUGGAUAUCUACCCCCUGGACUGGGACAGCGGCGGGAAACUGCCGGUAAUACCAGAUAAUGUCUGCGGACCAAAGGUGUGAUUCCGCCGGGGGAUGAGUCCGCGUCCUAUUAGCUAGUUGGUGGGGUAACGGCCUACCAAGGCAAAGAUGGGUACCGGGUGUGAGAGCAUGGCCCGGCUCACUGGGAGUGGGACACUGCCAAGACACCUACGGGUGGCUGCAGUCGAGAAUCUUCGGCAAGGGGCGAAAGCCUGACCGAGCGACGCCGCGUGAGGGAUGAAGGCCUUCGGGUUGUAAACCGCUGUCAGAGGGGAGGAAAUGCAUGAGGGUUCUCUCUCAUGUUUGACCUAUCCUCAGAGGAAGUACGGGCUAAGUUCGUGCCAGCCGCCGCCGUAACAC
rnacentral:rRNA from 1 species